AUUGAACGCUGGCGGCAUGCCUUACACAUGCAAGUCGAACGGCAGCAUAGGAGCUUGCUCCUGAUGGCGAGUGGCGAACGGGUGAGUAAUAUAUCGGAACGUGCCCUAGAGUGGGGGAUAACUAGUCGAAAGACUAGCUAAUACCGCAUACGAUCUACGGAUGAAAGUGGGGGAUCGCAAGACCUCAUGCUCCUGGAGCGGCCGAUAUCUGAUUAGCUAGUUGGUGGGGUAAAAGCCUACCAAGGCAACGAUCAGUAGCUGGUCUGAGAGGACGACCAGCCACACUGGGACUGAGACACGGCCCAGACUCCUACGGGAGGCAGCAGUGGGGAUUUUGGACAAUGGGGGCAACCCUGAUCCAGCAAUGCCGCGUGAGUGAAGAAGGCCUUCGGGUUGUAAAGCUCUUUUGUCAGGGAAGAAACGGUAGUAGCUAAUAUCUACUACUAAUGACGGUACCUGAAGAAUAAGCACCGGCUAACUACGUGCCAGCAGCCGCCGUAACAC
rnacentral:rRNA from 1 species